AUUGAACGCUGGCGGCAGGCCUAACACAUGCAAGUCGCACGAGUGGCGGACGGGGGAGUAAUGUCUGGGAAACUGACCGAUGGAGGGGGAUAACUACUGGAAACGGUAGCUAAUAACGCAUACCAUCGGAUGUGCCCAGAUGGGAUGAGCUAGUAGGUGGGGUAACGGCUCACCUAGGCGCAGAUCCCUAGCUGGUCUGAGAGGAUGACCAGCCACACUGGACCUGAGACACGGUCCAGACUCCUACGUGAGGAAGCAGUGGGGAAUAUUGCACAAUGGGCGCAAGCCUGAUGCAGCCAUGCCGCGGGUAUGAAGAAGGCCUUCGGGUUGUAAAGUCCUUUCAGCGAGGAGGCGUUACUCGCAGAAGAAGCACCGGCUAACUCCGUGCCAGCAGCCGCGGUAAUUC
rnacentral:rRNA from 1 species